rnacentral:rRNA from 1 species
GAGCUAAUGCCGGAUGAGUUAUAUAAGUGCAUGUUUAUAUAGGAAAAGUUGGGGAGACCUGACGCUGAAAGAUGGACUCGCGUCCCAUUAGCUAGUUGGUAGGGUAAUGGCCUACCAAGGCGACGAUGGGUAGCCGGCCUGAGAGGGUGGCCGGCCACACUGGGACUGAGACACGGCCCAGACUCCUACGGGAGGCAGCAGUGGGGAAUUUUGCGCAAUGCUCGUAAGAGUGACGCAGCGACGCCGCGUGAAUGACGAAGGCCUUCGGGUCGUAAAGUUCUUUCGACAGGGAAGAAAAUGCCUAUAAGUAACUGUGUAUGUAUUGACGGUACCUGUAUAAGCAGCCCCGGCUAACUCCGUGCCAGCAGCCGCGGUAAUACGGAGGGGGCGAGCGUUGUUCGGAGUGACUGGGCGUAAAGAGCACGUAGGCGGUGUUGUAAGUCAUUAGUCAAAGACUAGAGCUCAACUUUAGUAAGGCUAGUGAUACUAUAAUACUAGAGUAUCAGAGAGGAUUGCAGAAUUCCUGGUGUAGCGGUGAAAUGCGUAGAUAUCAGGAGGAAUACCGUUAGCGAAGGCGGCAAUCUGGCUGGAAACUGACGCUGAGGUGCGAAAGCGUGGGUAGCAAACAGGAUUAGAUACCCUGGUAGUCCACGCUGUAAACGAUGGAUGCUAGGUGU